UUAAAGUGAAUUUAAAAAUAAAUUAAUCACAUGCCUCACAUCCAGACAACAAAACAAGGAGUUGGUGACAGAAGAAGAGAAAUCCACCUUUUAGUACAGCAAAAUACAUCAAAUCGAAUCGUAACAAUGGCGAAACUCGAACAGAAUGCAGAAAACGAAACAACAUUGAAGCAGCAAACGAAGAAGAAAACAGCCGUAAAGAGGAACCAUGGAUCGCCAUCAUUCUUCGUAUUUGUGGAUUACCUUUUCUUGGGGAUCUUCUUCUGUUUCCUCUCCUUCCUUCUCUACAAAUUGAUCGGUUUUUGAUUCAAUACGGGUAGUUAUUAGUUACAUGGGGGGGCGCAUCCCAUCUUGGCUCGAGUACUUAAACAGUGAUUCACAGGCAUGCCGUUAAUUUUUCGUUAUUUUGGAUAAUGUCAUGCUCAAAGUAAACUCUUGCAUUUUUUUUUCUCACUGGUUAUAUUUAUUUUUGUGUAGAAUGUAUCCUUUUUGACAAAAUAUUGGACUUUUUUCAGUAUUUUUUUUUUUAAUUUUUCGUUUGUACAAGUGCGCUCUAUGUUUGAUGAAUUGUCUGAAUCCCACUUUUAUCAUUUAUGCUCAGUCCAUUUUUGCAGUU